UACACUCCUGCGGGAGGCAGCAGUGGGGAAUAUUGGACAAUGGGCGCAAGCCUGAUCCAGCCAUGCCGCGUGAGUGAUGAAGGCCCUAGGGUUGUAAAGCUCUUUCACCGGAGAAGAUAAUGACGGUAUCCGGAGAAGAAGCCCCGGCUAACUUCGUGCCAGCAGCCGCGGUAAUACGAAGGGGGCUAGCGUUGUUCGGAAUUACUGGGCGUAAAGCGCACGUAGGCGGAUCGGUCAGUCAGGGGUGAAAUCCCAGGGCUCAACCCUGGAACUGCCUUUGAUACUGUCGAUCUGGAGUAUGGAAGAGGUGAGUGGAAUUCCGAGUGUAGAGGUGAAAUUCGUAGAUAUUCGGAGGAACACCAGUGGCGAAGGCGGCUCACUGGUCCAUUACUGACGCUGAGGUGCGAAAGCGUGGGGAGCAAACAGGAUUAGAUACCCUUGUAGUCCCAUGAU
rnacentral:rRNA from 1 species